GCGCCUCAGCAGAAGCGUCCGGCGCCUCAGCAGAAGCGUCCGGCGCCUCAGCAGAAGCCUCAGGAGCGUCCGCGCCUCAGCAGAAGCCUCAGGAGAAGCGCCUCAGCAGAAGCGUCCGGCCCCGGCGCCUCAGCAGAAGCGUCAGGCCCCGGCGCCUCAGCAGAAGCGUCCGGCCCCGCGCCUCAGCAGAAGCCUCAGCAAUAGCGUCCGGCGCCUCAGCAAUAGCGUCCGGCGCCUCAGCGGAAGCGUCAAGCCUUGAACAGACCGCCCGACCACUCAACUAGGGAGAUCAUAAUUUGGUUUGCAUAACUCCUUAAUUGUCGUUCCCCUGUUACUGUGCCUCCCUUUAGAAGAAAAGGUAACUGAGGUGGAGAAAUGUGCCAACUAAUGCUCUUGUUUGAAAUGAGGAUCUCCUUCACUUGUCCAG
rnacentral:lncRNA from 1 species